AUUGAACGCUGGCGGCAUGCCUUACACAUGCAAGUCGAACGGCAGCACGGGUGCUUGCACCUGGUGGCGAGUGGCGAACGGGUGAGUAAUACAUCGGAACGUACCUUAUCGUGGGGGAUAACGCAGCGAAAGCUGUGCUAAUCCCGCAUACGCCCUGAGGGGGAAAGCGGGGGAUCGCAAGACCCCGCGCGAGUGAUGCGGCCGAUGCCUGAUUAGCUUGUUGGUGGGGUAAAAGCCCACCAAGGCGACGAUCAGUAGCUGGUCUGGGAGGACGAUCAGCCACACUGGGACUGAGACACGGCCCAGACUCCUACGGGAGGCAGCAGUGGGGAAUUUUGGACAAUGGGGGCAACCCUGAUCCAGCAAUGCCGCGUGAGUGAAGAAGGCCUUCGGGUUGUAAAGCUCUUUUGUCAGGGAAGAAACACCGGCUCUAACACAGUCUGGGAAUGACGGUACCUGAAGAAUAAGCACCGGCUAACUACGUGCCAGCCGCCGCCGUAA
rnacentral:rRNA from 1 species